UGGGGAAUUUUGGAUAAUGGGGGAAACCCUGAUCCAGCCAUCCCGCGUGUGCGAUGAAGGCCUUCGGGUUGUAAAGCACUUUUGGCAGGAAAGAAACGUCAUGGGUUAAUACCCCGUGAAACUGACGGUACCUGCAGAAUAAGCACCGGCUAACUACGUGCCAGCAGCCGCGGUAAUACGUAGGGUGCAAGCGUUAAUCGGAAUUACUGGGCGUAAAGCGUGCGCAGGCGGUUCGGAAAGAAAGAUGUGAAAUCCCAGAGCUCAACUUUGGAACUGCAUUUUUAACUACCGGGCUAGAGUGUGUCAGAGUGAGGUGGAAUUCCGCGUGUAGCAGUGAAAUGCGUAGAUAUGCGGAGGAACACCGAUGGCGAAGGCAGCCUCCUGGGAUAACACUGACGCUCAUGCACGAAAGCGUGGGGAGCAAACAGG
rnacentral:rRNA from 1 species